rnacentral:rRNA from 1 species
AAGAGAAGCUUGCGGCUGAUUAGCUUGUUGGUAAGGUAAUGGCUUACCAAGGCGACUAUCAGUAUCUGGUUUGACAGGACGAUCAGACACACUGGAACUGAGACACGGUCCAGACUCCUACGGGAGGCAGCAGUGGGGAAUUUUCCGCAAUGGGCGAAAGCCUGACGGAGCAAUCUCGCGUGAGGGAUGACGGGCUAUGGGUUGUAAACCUCUUUUUUCAGGGAGGAAUAAAAUGACGUGUACCUGAAGAAUAAGCAUCGGCUAACUCCGUGCCAGCAGCCGCGGUAAGACGGAGGAUGCAAGUGUUAUCCGGAAUCACUGGGCGUAAAGCGUCUGUAGGUGGUUUAAUAAGUCAACUGUUAAAUCUUGAGGCUCAACCUCAAAAUCGCAGUCGAAACUAUUAGGCUAGAGUAUAGUAGGGGUAAAGGGAAUCUCCAGUGGAGCGGUGAAAUGCGUAGAGAUUGGAAAGAACACCGAUGGCGAAUGCACUUUACUGGGCUAUUACUAACACU